GAUGAACGCUGGCGGCGUGCCUAAUACAUGCAAGUCGAGCGAACAGACGAGGAGCUUGCUCCUCUGACGUUAGCGGCGGACGGGUGAGUAACACGUGGAUAACCUACCUAUAAGACUGGGAUAACUUCGGGAAACCGGAGCUAAUACCGGAUAAUAUAUUGAACCGCAUGGUUCAAUAGUGAAAGACGGUUUUGCUGUCACUUAUAGAUGGAUCCCCGCCGCAUUAGCUAGUUGGGAAGGUAACGGCUUACCAAGGCGACCAUGCGUAGCCGACCUGAGGGGGUGGUCGGCCCCACUGGAACUGGGACACGGUCCAGGGGCCUGCGGGAGGGCGCAGUAGGGAAUCUUACGCAAUAGGCGAAAGCCUGACGGAGCAACGCCGCGUGAGUGAUGAAGGUCUUCGGAUCGUAAAACUCUGUUAUUAGGGAAGAACAAAUGUGUAAGUAACUAUGCACGUCUUGACGGUACCUAAUCAGAAAGCCACGGCUAACUACGUG
rnacentral:rRNA from 1 species